UACGUAGGUGACAAGCGUUGUCCGGAUUUACUGGGCGUAAAGAGCGCGCAGGCGGUCGUUCAAGUCGAGUGUGAAAGCCCCCGGCUCAACUGGGGAGGGUCAUUCGAUACUGAUCGACUCGAAGGCAGGAGAGGGUAGUGGAAUUCCCGGUGUAGUGGUGAAAUGCGUAGAUAUCGGGAGGAACACCAGUGGCGAAGGCGACUACCUGGCCUGUUUCUUGACGCUGAGGCGCGAAAGCUAGGGGAGCAAACGAG
rnacentral:rRNA from 1 species